rnacentral:rRNA from 1 species
GAUGAACGCUGGCGGCGUGCCUAAUACAUGCAAGUAGAACGCAGUUGCGAACGGGUGAGUAACGCGUAGGUAAACGCCUCAUAGCGGGGGAUAACUAUUGGAAACGAUUGCUAAUACCGCACACUGUGAGAUGGACCUGCGUUGUAUUAGGUAGGUGGUGAGGUAAAGGCUCACCAAGGCGGCGAUACAUAGCCGACCUGAGAGGGAGGUCGGCAACAAUGGGAAUGGGACACGGCCCAGAAUUCUACGGGAGGCAAGAGGGGGGAAACUUGGGAAAUGGGCGGAAGUCUGGACGAGCAACGGCGGGGGAGUGGAGGAGGGUUUCGGGUCGGAAAGGUCUGUUGUUAGGGGAGCGGUAACUAAAGAGGAAGUGACGGCUAACUACGUGCCAGCAGCCGCGGUAAUUC